UACGUAGGUGGCAAGCGUUGUCCGGAUUUAUUGGGCGUAAAGAGCGCGUAGGCGGCUAGGUAAGUCCGACGUGAAAUCUGGAGGCUCAACCUCCAGCGGUCGUUGGAAACUACUUGGCUAGAGUCCGGAAGAGGAGAGUGGAAUUCCUGGUGUAGCGGUGAAAUGCGCAGAUAUCAGGAAGAACACCGAUGGCGAAAGCAGCUCUCUGGGACGGUACUGACGCUGAGGCGCGAAAGCGUGGGGAGCGAACAGG
rnacentral:rRNA from 1 species